rnacentral:lncRNA from 1 species
UAUCCCAUGACUGGGUAGUAAGGUGGUCUCACUGCACUAUGUUAUGCCAUGGCUGGGUAGUAAGGUGGUCUCACUGCACUAUGUUAUGUUAUUGCUGGGUAGUCAGGUGGUCUCACUGCACUAUGUUAUGCCAUGACUGGGUAGUAAGGUGGUCUGAGUGGACUAUGUUAUGGCUGCGUAGUAAGGUGGUCUCCAUGGACUACGUUAUGCCAUGACUGGGUAGUAAGGUAGUCUCACUGCACUAUUUUAUGACAUCACUGGUUAGUAAGGUGGUCUCACUGCACUAUGUUAUGUUAUGGCUGGUAGUAAGAUGGUCUAACUGGACUAUGUUACGUUAUAGCUGGUCUUAAGGUGGUCUCACUGGACUAUAUUAUGCCAUGACUGGGUAGUAAGGUGGUCUCACUGGACUAUGUUAUGCCAUGAGUGGGUACUAA